rnacentral:lncRNA from 1 species
AAUGCUGAGGAGGCUGAAAAUGGCCAAUAUGAAGACUUAAAACACCUUCUAGAACUGACACCAAAGAAAGAUGUUCUUCUCAUUCUAGGGGAUUGGAAUGCUAAAAUGGGGAGUCAAGAGAUAAAAGGAGCAACAAGUAAGUUUGACCUUGGAGUUCAACAAGCUGGUCAUCACAAACACUCUUUUCCAACAACACAAGGGGCGAGUCUAUACAUGGACAUCACCAGAUGGGCAAUACUGAAAUUAGAUUGAUUAUAUUCUCUGCAGCCACAGAUGGAGAAGCUCUAUACAAUCAGCAAAAAACAAGCCCUGGAGCUGAUUGUGGCUCUGAUCAUCAGCUUCUCAUAGCAAAACUCAAGCUUAGACUGAAGAAAGGAGGAAAACCCACUGGGCUAGUCAGGUAUAAUCUAAACCAAAUCUGUUAUGAAUACAUAGUGGAAGUAAAGAAUAGAUUUAAGGAACUAGAUUUGGUGGACAGAGUGCCUGAAGAACUAUGGAUGGAGGCUCAUAACAUUGUAGAGGAGGCAGCAAUAAAAAACGUCUUAAAGAAACGGAAAUGCAAGAAAGCAAAGUGGCUGUCCAACGAGGCCUUACAAAUAGGAGAGAAGAGAAGGGAAACAAAAUGCAAGGGAGAUAGGGAAAUUUACAGAAAAUGGAAUGCAGACUUCCAAAGAAUAGCAAGGAGAGACAAAAGGGCCUUCUUAAAUGAACAGUGCAUAGAAAUAGAGGAAAAUAAUAGAAAGGGGAAAACCAAAGAUCUGUUCAGGAACACUGGAGAUAUUAAAGGAACAUUUUCUGUAAAGAUGUUCAUUAUAAAGGACAAAAAUGGUAGGGACCUAACAGAAGCAGAAGACAUCAAGAAGAGGUGGGAAGAAUACACAGAGGAACUACACCAGAAAGAUUUGGAUGUCCCGGACAACCCAGAUAGUGUGAUUUCUGACCCUGAGCCAGACAUCCUGGAGAGUGAAGUCGAAUGGGCCUUAGAAAGCAUGGCUAACUACAAGGCCAGUGGAGGUGAUGGCAUUCCAGUCAAACUACUUAAAAUCUUAAAAGAUGACACUGUUAAGAUGCUGCACUCAAUAUGCGAGCAA